ACCUCAGUGGUUCAGUCGGUAGAGCAAGUGACUCUUGAUCUUGGGGUUGUGAGUUCAAGCCCCAUCUUGGGUA
rnacentral:tRNA from 1 species